rnacentral:rRNA from 1 species
GCUCCUUUAAGUUAGCGGCGGACGGGUGAGUAACACGUGGGCAACCUGCCUGUAAGACUGGGAUAACUUCGGGAAACCGGAGCUAAUACCGGAUAACAUAUGAGACCACAUGGUCUUAUAUUGAAAGAUGGCCUCGGCUAUCACUUACAGAUGGGCCCGCGGCGCAUUAGCUAGUUGGUGAGGUAACGGCUCACCAAGGCAACGAUGCGUAGCCGACCUGAGAGGGUGAUCGGCCACACUGGGACUGAGACACGGCCCAGACUCCUACGGGAGGCAGCAGUAGGGAAUCUUCCGCAAUGGACGAAAGUCUGACGGAGCAACGCCGCGUGAACGAUGAAGGCCUUCGGGUCGUAAAGUUCUGUUGUUAGGGAAGAACAAGUACCGUUCGAAUAGGGCGGUACCUUGACGGUACCUAACCAGAAAGCCACGGCUAACUACGUGCCAGCAGCCGCGGUAAUACGUAGGUGGCAAGCGUUAUCCGGAAUUAUUGGGCGUAAAGCGCGCGCAGGUGGUUUCUUAAGUCUGAUGUGAAAGCCCACGGCUCAACCGUGGAGGGUCAUUGGAAACUGGGGAACUUGAGUGCAGAAGAGGAAAGUGGAAUUCCAAGUGUAGCGGUGAAAUGCGUAGAGAUUUGGAGGAACACCAGUGGCGAAGGCGACUUUCUGGUCUGUAACUGACACUGAGGCGCGAAAGCGUGGGGAGCGAACAGGAUUAGAUACCCUGGUAGUCCACGCCGUAAACGAUGAGUGCUAAGUGUUAGAGGGUUUCCGCCCUUUAGUGCUGCAGCUAACGCAUUAAGCACUCCGCCUGGGGAGUACGGUCGCAAGACUGAAACUCAAAGGAAUUGACG